rnacentral:sRNA from 3 species
GCAUUCAGGAAUCCACGAGGAUGAGAACCUCCGGGGGCAAGAGGUUCGACUCGAGCGUAGUGAGAGAACGUUGCGUCAGCAACGGCCGCAGGGCGAGCCACGCAGUGGCGAGUAAUCCUCUAUCACCGACCA